rnacentral:rRNA from 1 species
CGGUUAGACUAGAAGAUCUGGCUAUAUUAUUUAGGUAAAAAGGUGGUUAAAUACUGAAUUGUGAAUGUUAGUUAUAUAAACUACUAUAUAGAAGUAAAAUUCUUAUAUGGGAUUUUUAGGUAAAUCAGAGAUGACUAAUAUAUUGAAUCCACUAUCGCUUUGAGGGAAACUGGGAUUUGGUACCCCAUUAUUCUUAGCUGUAAAUAGGUGUUGAACUUACCGGAGUACUACGAAUAAUUAGUUUAAAACUCAAAGGGCUUGGCGGUGUUCUAGACCGGUUAGGGGAACCUGUUUCGUAAUCGAUGAUCCACGUGAUACCUUACCCUUUAUUGCAAUCAGCCUGUACACCGUUGUCAUCAGGUAACUUUUUAGAAAAAUGAAGUUAGCAAGAGAACCUAUCAUAAGUUUCUAUGUCAAAUCAAGGUGCAGCUAAUGAAAGGGAGAGGAUGGGUUACAAUUAAAAUUUAUAAAAACGGAUCAGGUAAUGAAAUGUGCUUGUGAAGGUGGACUUAAAAGUAAGAUUAUAUAUAAGAAUAGUCUGAACAGGGCUCUGGAAUGUGUACCAAUUGCCC